rnacentral:tRNA from 1 species
GUUUUAGUAAUUUAAAAUAAAAUACUGGUCUUGUAAACCAAAAAUGAAAAUUUUCCUAAAACU